rnacentral:pre_miRNA from 1 species
UUAGAGUAUUUCAAAACUUUAACUUGCAAACUUGAAGGAUUUGAAAACUUCUACUUGCAUACUUGAAGAAUUUGAAAACUUCGAAU